rnacentral:rRNA from 1 species
AGCGAACGCUGGCGGCAGGCCUUAACACAUGCAAGUCGAACGGAUCCUUCGGGAUUAGUGGCGGACGGGUGAGUAACACGUGGGAACGUGCCCUUUGGUUCGGAACAACUCAGGGAAACUUGAGCUAAUACCGGAUGUGCCCUUCGGGGGAAAGAUUUAUCGCCAUUGGAGCGGCCCGCGUCUGAUUAGCUAGUUGGUGAGGUAAAGGCUCACCAAGGCGACGAUCAGUAGCUGGUCUGAGAGGAUGAUCAGCCACAUUGGGACUGAGACACGGCCCAAACUCCUACGGGAGGCAGCAGUGGGGAAUCUUGCGCAAUGGGCGAAAGCCUGACGCAGCCAUGCCGCGUGAAUGAUGAAGGUCUUAGGAUUGUAAAAUUCUUUCACCGGGGACGAUAAUGACGGUACCCGGAGAAGAAGCCCCGGCUAACUUCGUGCCAGCAGCCGCGGUAAUACGAAGGGGGCUAGCGUUGCUCGGAAUUACUGGGCGUAAAGGGAGCGUAGGCGGACUGUUAAGUUAGAGGUGAAAGCCCAGGGCUCAACCUUGGAAUUGCCUUUGAUACUGGCAGUCUUGAGUACGGAAGAGGUAUGUGGAACUCCGAGUGUAGAGGUGAAAUUCGUAGAUAUUCGGAAGAACACCAGUGGCGAAGGCGACAUACUGGUCCGUUACUGACGCUGAGGCUCGAAA